AUGGCCCCAAAACGCAAGGAAUUGUCAUUGUUUGAGAAAAAUGCCAUUGCAGCAUUACAUAAGGCUGGUAUAAAAGGACCUGACAUCGCACGACGAACAAGACAUCCACUUCCAACAAUUUAUGGGAUUUUAAACCGUUUCAAAGGUCGGGGGAGUUUAGAAAACAAAGAGAGAACGGGAAGGCCAAAUCUGCUAACACUGCGGGAUACUCACAAACUUUGCACCACUGUCAAGUCGGACAGAAAACGUCCACUGCAUGAGAUUACUGCUGUUUUUAAUGAAUCUAGGGAAGAACCAGUCACUAAGCGUACUGUUCAGAGAAAAUUGUAUGAGGAAGGGUUCAAAAAACGUGUUGUAAAAAAAUCCAUCCGAAUUCGUGCUGCAAAUGUCAAAAAAAAGGCUGGCAUGGUGUAAAUUGGCCCGGCACAAAACUUUGGAAGAUUAUUGGAGAAGGGUCAUAUAUAAUGAAUGUAAGGUGGAAAUCGGAAUGGAUAAUCGUGUUUAGUCUGGAGACGGCCUGGUGAGGAGUGGACUCCUCCUUGUUUAAAUCCUGGUCGUGGGUCACGACUGAGUUUGAUGAUCUGGGGUUGCAUUACCUAUGAAGGUUUUUGCACUAUUACUGUUGUAUCUGGUAAUAUAAAUGCUUUAAAGUAUAUUGAGAUUGUUGACAAUUUUGUUUGGCCUGUUAUUGCUCGUCAUUUCCCUGCUGACAAUUACAAUACCAAGAUGACAAUGCCCCGAUUCAUAGGGCCAAAAUUUUGAAGGAUUACAUGGAACAAGACCAACUUCAUGGUAUGGAAUGGCCAGCACAAAGUAUAGACCUUAAUAUUAUUGAAAAUAUGUGGCGUAAAAUUAAAAUUGAACUGCAAAAACAGGCACAUAACAUCACUACAAAGGUUCAAAUGGAGACAGCAAUUCGUGACAUAUGGACAAAUAUAUCCUUAGAAUUCAUAAGAAAACUUUAUAAUUCAAUUCCAAGACAUUUGAGGCUAGUAAAAAGGGCAAAAGGAAACAUCACAAAGUACUAGGUGAGUUCAGAUCAUUUUAUUAAAAAAAUUACAAAGGUUGAACUGUGACAAAUAAUUGACAACUGUAUGUGGCACCUUCGAAAGAUAAACUGACAAUUCUAAUCAAUGAAGAUUGAAAUCGAGCGCCCCUGUCUCGUUCAUGAGUUGAACUCACAACGCAAAUUCAGUGUUGAAAGGCUAGUGAAAAGGUACUUCAACUACUUACACCAUUCAGCCACCUAGUCCCCUCAUUUGUAAUAGAAAAGUCAAGUAUAUAAAUCAAUCUUCAAGGUUAUUAUGAUAAUCUGGAUUAAGUUAAAAUGUAUAGGUGAGACCAAGAUACAGCGUUUUUUUUUUAUUUUUCUCCAAAUCUGAUGUUGAAAAUCAGAAUAAACAAACAAGUUGCCAAGAAGAGUAGAACAUUUUACGUCCAUAUGGUUUCAUUGUCGAGAGUUUUUCAAAAUUAGCCCUAAAAUUGUAACAAAUAUGACAAGGUCAAUGGAAAUCAGGUUUCUUGAUAAUGUCAGUUUCAGAUACAUUUUCGGCUGAAUCAGAGUAUUUAUUUUGAAAUUUGUAACUUCUGAUCAUAUAUAUGUUUCCAUCGGAAAUUCUUCAUUAUAAUACUGAGAGGGAUCAUUAUUUAAUAAUAGUAAAUGAGAAAAGUAAUCUUAUUCAAUGAUAAUAGAACCCACUAACGUAACAUAUAAAAACGUUACACAUAUAACGUUGUAACAAAUGACCGUUAAAUUUGAUAGCUUAUUAUAAAUAAAUUCGUCAUAGAUACAGACCGCCUGUAAUACGUGUUUAUCAUUUAAACAUCUUACUUAGACAUACAAACGAUAUGUUAAAUCACAUAACGAUACAUUUAUUCUGAAAUCUCUAUAUAGAGGUCACGACUGAUAAGAACAUCGAACAAAGAUACUUAACAGAUCAAUCCUUACUUAAACAUGUCAACAACUUUGGUCAUUUUUACUUUUUGUAUUUCAUUUGGACAUGCAUCGUGGUGGCACCCACAUCCGCACAUGGCUUGGAACUAUGUGAUCAGCGAACGUCACAUCAACACUACUAUCUAUGGAAAUAUGUUUGUUGUUGAUUUGUAUGUGGAUAAAAGAAUUAUUGAAAAUUUCCACAGGUAUUUUCUAUUGAUAAUAUCCACAUCAUCGGUACGUCAUAAAUAUGAUCUCCUCAUAUGUUUCAUAUUACUAGUCAUCACAGGUAUGUCAUUCUGGUGAUCUCCUCAGGUAUACCACAUUGAUGACUUAUUCAUAUUAAUCACACUGGUCUUAUGAUCUCACAUGGGUAUGUUAUUGGUGAUAUUACCAGGUUUGUCAUAUUCCUGAUAUCAACAGGUUUGUCAAACUGAUAAUCUCCUCACGUAUGUCAAAUUGAUGAUCUUCAUCGGUAUAUCACACUGAUACUCUCCUCAUGUAUGCCGAAUUGAUGAUCUUCAUAUGUAUGUCAUAUUAGUGAUCUCCUCAUAUAUGUCAAAUUGAUGAUCUUCAUCGGUAUAUCAAACGGAUAAUCUCCUCAUGUAUGUCAAAUUGAUGAUCUUCAUCGGUAUAUCAAACGGAUAAUCUCCUCAUGUAUGUCAAAUUGAUGAUCUUCAUCGGUAUAUCAACGGAUAAUCUCCUUCAUAUAUGUCAAAUUGAUGAUCUUCAUCGGUAUAUUCAAAACGGAUAAUCUCCUCAUGUAUGUCAAAUUGAUUAUCUUCAUCGGUAUAUCAAACAGAUAAUCUCCUCAUGUAUGUCAAAUUGAUGAUCUUCAUCGGUAUAUCAAACGGAUAAUCUCCUCAUGUAUUAAUUGAUGAUCUUCAUCGGUAUAUCAAACGGAUAAUCCUCAUGUAUGUCAAUUGAUUAUCUUCAUCGGUAUAUAACAGAAUAAUCUCCUCAUGUAUGUCAAAUUGAUGAUCUUCAUCGGUAUAUCAAACGGAUAAUCUCCUCAUAUAUGUCAAAUUGAUGAUCUUCAUCGGUAUAUCAAACGGAUAAUCUCCUCAUGUAUGCCGAAUUGAUGAUCUUCAUCGGUAUAUCAAACGGAUAAUCUCCUCAUGUAUGCCAAAUUGAUGAUCUUCAUCGGUAUAUCAAACGUAUAAUCUCCUCAUGUAAGUCAAAUUGAUGAUCUUCUCAUGUAUGUCAUUUUGGUGAUAUCCUCAGGUAUCUCAUUUUACUGAUUUUCUCUGUUCUGUUAUACUGAUGAUCUCCGUAUGUCUAUCAUAUUGAUGAUCUCAUCAAAUGUCAUAUCAUACUGUAAAUCUCUUUAUAUGUCCUUACGCGCUUCAUAUGUUAAUUUAAAAUAUUUUCGGUAUUUUUGUACUUUAUUGAUUAAUCAUUACUGAGUAGAUAAUAGAUUUAGAACCAUAAAUAUUAUGGCUGCUGCACAUUAAGGGUAUACGAUACAGUUUUGAUCCCGUAUUUAAAUUUUGAUAAAAAUUUGCAUAUAGGCUAUUUUUUACCUGAUUAAAUCAAAUAUGUAAUAAAAACUAUACCUUUAUGUGCUACUUUUUGAGUAAGCUGAGGUUCAAAUUUCAGAUAUUUCCUCAAAAUACGGAUUUGUGGACAUAUUUUUCCUUUCGAUAGAAAUACAUAACUUUUUAGUUUUAAAAGAUAAACACGAUCUGUUUUUGUUAAAUUAUUUGUAAUUUAUGUGUUAUAUAAAUAUUGCAUAAAUUUUUUUUACAAAUAACUCAAAUUUAUCAAAUGAUAAUGAAUGUAGGGAAAAAAACGUAAUUUUUUGCUGUAUAUUAAUCAAAUUUUGCACUAUUUACCUUUUUUGAUGGAAAUUGGUACACAUAAUCUUCGUACGUAAUCAAUUCAAAUGUCAUUUUAAAGAAGUGGGGUCCAUGAACUCGUUUUCAAGUUAAAUCAGUUUGAAUGAUAAAAAUCAGCCAAAAACUGCAUCCUUUCCUGAUACGUCACCGUUUGGCGUCGCGAAAACCGUUUACAACUUUCAUAUUAAUUCAUUUCAUGGAUUUUUGUUCUCCAAAACCAGGGACGGGAAGAAGGUGAUAUGUCACUUUUCUGCUGGUACGAUAGAAAGAUGGAGAAAAGAUGCAGGCCAGUUCCCACACGAAGGACUUGGAGCUCCUGUUAAAGGCUACCCAAGCGAGACAUGGGUUGACAUCAUGAAUAUUAAGUGAGUAUAUAUUAUCAGUGUAUCUCUUUUUACAAACAUGUGGAAUGCGACAUAUGGAUUGCAGUCAUUGUUGCGACGAUGGCGGUGUUAACUAAUUGUAUAUUGCUUUAUGUGUGUUGCAUUGUCGUUUGUUUUUUUGUUCACAUUUGUGUUUGUGUUGUUUUGUUGUCGAAAUGUACUAUAUUGUAUUGAUUUUAUGUGUAAUUCUCUGUUCUUGCAUUUAUUUGUAUUGUAUUCUUGUCAUAUAAUGGUGUCAUAUAGUGUUUUAUUUAACAUUGCCAAAUAAGUGCGAGGUUUUGCUAGCCACAAAACCAGGUGCAACCCACCAUUUUUGUCUUAAAAUGUCCUGUACUAAGUCAGGCAAAUGGCCAUUGUUGAAUAUAAUUGUUGUGUGUGUAACAUUUUACUGUUGUGUUUCUGUUGUGUCGUAGGUUUCUUCUUAUAUUUGAUGUGUUUCCCUAAGUGUUAGUUUGUAACCCGGAUUUGUUUCGUUUUUUUUCUCAAUCGAUUUAUGAUUUUAGAACAGUGGUAUACUACUGUUGCCUUUAUUUAUUUUCAGAGAGUCAUAAACUUCCUACUUGGUUUACAAAUCCUUUGUGUAACUUUCCAUUGUUAAGCGCAUUCAAAAAAAAAUACACUGUAUUGGUCCUGUGGAUUUCUGAAUUCUGAUAUAUAACAUGAUACUUAAUGUUGUGUAUGGCAUGAUUUUAAAUCGUACAUACUUUUAUGACAGGGUUCGUCUUACCUUGACCUCAUUUACGUUUUUCAUUGGUCAUUUUAAGUUUGUACAGUUUUGUGUGUUUCUUGGUUACGAUAAGCCAUUCGUCAACUUUUGAUUCUGGAAUGAUUUAUUAUGUAAAUAUACAAGUGAGACGAUUUGAUAUGGUGACAAUUAGACCCCGUGUACACUUACAAAAAAGAUCGAUCUUUACUAAGAUCUAUCUUCAAUCGGACCUAAAAAGUCUUCCUCUAGAGAUGUUUUUAAAAAGAUCGAUGAAUAAAGAAAAGUCCCCAUUGAAUAAAUUGUUUUGUUUUAUUUUUUUUAUUUUUUCGCAUGUAAAGUUGUCUGGUAAUAUAUCGAUCGAGCCACUCAAGCUUGAUAGAGGAAAACAUGUCAUCGUUGUCGGAGAACACACUAUUCGACAGACAUUUGCUAGAUAGUGAAGUAAUGAAUAUGUUUUUAAUUUGAUAGAUGAUUUUGUGCUUUUUUGUAAAAUUGUUUCUUUUAAUAUUGUAACACGGUGAUGACCGCUGUACCCAUAUUUUAACUUUUAUUUAUUAUGUCUGUUUAGUUCACGCUUCGUUGUAAAUAUUACGGAAUUUGAUGAGACUGUCGUACAAAGUGAGAGGUUUAGCGCUAUAAAACCAGGUUCAAUCCACCAUUUUCUACAUUUGAAAAUGCCUGUACAAAGUCAAGAAUAUGGCAGUUGUUGUCCAUUCGUUUUUUAUGUGUUUUGUCAUUUGAUUUUGACAUGUAAUUAGGGACUUUCCAAUUUAAUUUUCCUCGGAGUUCAGUAUUUUUUUUAUUUUACUUUUUGAUACUUUUUCAAAACUGUAAUCAGCGCAAAUUGUUUUGCCUGGUACAACUCUCCACCAGAGAUCACAUGACGUUGAAAUUAACAAAUUUAAGUCCCCGUAUGGCCUUCAACAUGACAAAGGUUAAACAAUUUAAAUGAGAAAAAGCAAUAAACGAAAGACAUAGGUGAUUAACAUUAACAAACGAGAACCACUGAAAUAGAAGCUCCUGACUUCGAACGGGAACAUUGUUGAAAACAAACCUUUACAAACGAGAUGAUUUCAGCUUCCUUAUUGUGAACUUUCCAUUUCUAUGUAAGAGCAUUCCAGCAGCGCUUGCAUACGAAUUAUAUAUCUCACAAUUCCCACGCUUGUAUUUCCUAUCAUGAUGUCCUUGAUAGAGGGUUGCUGCUCACAAGGAAGCUAUUAAAGCAAGAUUUCCAAAUGGUGAAGUUAAAAUCAUCCCUUCGUAAAAUUUACGGACGCUACACGAGUUGGUUGACCGUUAUGGAAUAACUGUUUCACAGAUGAUAUCAGAUAUGUUGCUUACGUCGUAACUACAAUCCCCUUCCCUUGUCAUGAAUGUGACCUACCGAAUUAAAGUAUUUACUGCGUUUGUUAUAACAUGAGCAACACGACGGGUGCCACAUGUGGAGCUGAAUCUGCUUACCUUACGGAGCACCUGAGAUCACCCCAAGUGGGGUUCGUGUUGCUCAGUCUUUAGUUUUUUAUGUUUCGUGUGUACUUUUAUUUUUCUGUUUGUCUUUUUAAUUUUUAGCCAUGGCAUUGUCAGUUAUUUUUCGAUUUAUGAGUUUGACUAUUCCUCUGGUAUCUUUCGCACCUCUUGUGGUGUAGCAUAUAACAUAACAAUAAAUAAAAAAUCAGUUGAAAAGGGUUUUAUUCAUCAGAUCUAUACAAAGUUCCAACAUACUAACAAAAUCACAAGACACAAAGAUCUCCGAGUGAUAAUAAAUACACAAAACUCAUUCUGAGGACUAAAAUAUCAAUCAGUAAUGAUCUACUAGUAGUUAUGCAAACUAACACACAUUGACGUCGUUACAUUUUUGACGUCAACCUCGCGACUAAAAACGCAAAAAUUAUUUUCUUCUAGUUUGACUGUAUCUGGACAAGACGCCCCGUAAAAAUAUGGCAAAUUAACAAAGUACAAUAAAAAAAUUAUUUUAUUUUUAAAAAGACGUCUCCUGGUGUACUAGGGUACUCAAUGGGGUUAAAAUAUCAAUAUCUACUGAUGUGAUCGUAGAUAAAUUGUACUAUCUUUCUGUUUGUUUACAGAGUUAGACGUAUAAUGAGAGCUCGAAUUGAACUUGCAAUUUCCCGCCAUUGUGAUGGUAUAGAUCCGGAUAAUUUAUUUGGAUGGGAAGGGAACGUAGCAGGACUUCAUUUGACACCAGAAAAUCAAUUGGACUAUAACAGAUAUUUAGCGAACGGUAAUACAUAUAGAAUAAUACAUGGCAAAAUCCGUAUCGCAUGCUGUAUCACCACGAGAAACCAAUAUCAGUCCCGAGGGCCGAAGGUCCCGAGAGCUGAUAUUGAUCGAGUGGUGAUACAGCAUGCGAUACGGAUUUUGCCAUGUAUUAUUCUGUUUAUCAUAUAUUUUAAUAGAAUCAGAUUGAUGGAAUAUCCAUUUUUUGUCUUAAAUCGUCUGAAACUAUAAGCUAGCAAAGACUCAUUGGUGGACAUCAGCUGUUGCCUGCUCUAUGGUUGUUGUCUCUUUGACACAUUCCCCAUUACCAUUCUCAAUUGUUAUUCUAUUAUGAUUUUCUUGUAUUUUUCCAGCUGACUUUUUUUUAUAGACAUCCUUAUUUGCUUAAUAUCUACAUCGUAAUGCCCCCUAUAAUCUUAUUACAUUCUCAAUAUAUGUAAAAGACCAUGUAUUAAAAUGCAUCCACUAACGAUACUGUCCUAUUAUUUCAACUAAAAUUAAUAAUUAUAAAAUGUAGAAAUGUUUAAAGUUUUAUUGUGUAUUUGGCGAUGAUAUCAUUCAUGAUCAUUUUACUUUGCUGAAGAGGUGAACAGCAAGACCAAUAUUUCUUAAAAAAAUUUGCAUAUCUACAUAUAUUCUAACCAAAAUUUUAACUGUAAAAAUUUGCAUUUGUGAUUAAUCCAUCAUGUAAUGAAAACAAACUUCACGAAAAUUAUGACCAAAUAAACAAUAAAAGUUCAUAUAGUUCUUCAUCUUAUUGUGUUUUUAUAUAUUAUAUAUAUAUAUAUAUAUAUAUAUAUAUAUAUAUACAACUCGUCUAAACAUCAACCCAACAAUGUUAGAUCUGUAAAUUUGCUUUCGCAAAUUUUUGGUUCUUCCCUCGCCGGGAUUCGAACCCAUGCUACUGUGAUAUCGUGACACCAAAUCGCCUGCACUGCAGCCGUCCCGCUAGACCACACGACCACCUGGGCUCUUAAAAAUAGAGCUUUCGCUGGCCGUGUGUUACCUUUCCACGUCAGUUUUAAUCUAGCGGCGUACUGCAGUACAUGAUAUAUAAGGCAUGAAGAUGUUAUUGUUACAGAUCAGCUAAAUUAUCUAUAGUAAAGGAUCCUACAAAUUAAUGUAAGAUACAGUCACAGAAAAUAAUUAUAUUUAUAAGUACGUCUGAGACAGUGACAACCCUACAACAGAUGUAUCAUAUAUAUAUAUAAAUCGCUCGUAAAGUUACUAGGUAAUAAUUUUACGAAAAAAUAUCGAUUUUAGUUGAAAUGAUAGGACACUUUUUUAGGGGGAACUCAUUUUUUUCCUAUGCCAGGAUACAGCAACUGAACGUCAUAGGUCAAACGUUGACGUCAUUCGAAUUGUGAACUCAUGCCAGGUAUGCGAUACGGGGUAUGCGAUACAGGGUAGGUGAUACAGACUGGAAAAAAGAACUUUUAUUAGAUGUACAAAAUUGCUGUAUUUUGUACUAAACAUAUGAUAAAUGCAUAUACGUUGACAUUUAUCCUUGUCAACUUUGUAAUUACGUUACAAUAUACUAGUCAACUAAAUUCUAUACGUUAUUUACACUUCAGAAUUUCCCCCACUAUAACCCAACGUUGACUCAUAAAUUAAAUUUCAUAAAAUAUAUAUGAACUGUUGAUAUCACAUGAACGAAGGUGUUACAAAUAUGCCUGUAUCAUGAAAGACAGUGGUUGUGUUUCAAUUGAAAUGGUUGCAAUGUUGUUCUCAUCUUCGAUUGUGACAUCACUUUGUGAGACUUUUCACAUAACGUGUAUUUACCAUGAGAAACAGACGGAUACCUCUAAAACAGCAGGGUGACCUUAUCCUUCGGAACACAUGAGAACACGAGCAACUUUUGAUGGGGUUCGUGUUGCUUAUUCUUUUAGUUUUAUAUGCCGUGUUUGGUUGCCUUGUUUGUCUUUUUGUUGUCUUCGUGGUUUGCAAUAACGAGCGGGGUUCGAACUCACUACCUCAGUGUUGACUGGAUAGUGAUUACAGUAGUAACCACUCGGCCAUCGAGCCCCAGUUUGAUAAAGAAGAAGUCAUUACAUUUGAACAGGAUUCCCUGUCCAGGAAGAAGUUUAAUCUUGUGUUAUAUAUAUGUAUUCCUUCUUAUAAAUUCUAUUUCUUAAGACUUUUGAAAAUAAAUUUGCAGUGGCACAUGAAAACGGGUUAGCUAUAGGGCUGUCAGAUGAUAGAGAACAACUUAGUGACCUGGUAGGCGACUUUGACUUCGCAAUAACCAACUUGUCCUGUAUGGAUUUUAGCCUCGAGUGUCAUAAGUACAAACCUUUUUUUGAUGCUAGAAAGGUGUGUGGAAAAUAUAAUACAUGUAUAAUUGCUCGUUAAGAUUGAUAGCUUUACAUCUCAAACCUAUAACGGAAAAUGCACAAUAUAAUACAUGUAUAAUUGCUCGUUUAAAUAGACAACUUUACAUCUCAAACCAAUAACGGCAUAUGCACAAUAUAAUAAAACCGUUUGAAGUAUAUCAUCGAUAUGCAUAGCUUUAAAAAGUAAAAAAAAAUAUAAAAAAAAUCUUUUCUUUCACUUGACUAGUCAUUUUACUUUUCCUUGAAAAAAUUAUAUCGGUUUUUAUUAAGUUCGUAAUAAAGCUUCCUUUUACCAUGUUUAGAUCUGUAUAGAAUGUGUAAAAAUGAAAUACCACAGAAAUUGCCUGACAUUUUACAAAAUAUAUUUGAAUAGGGACUUCAAUUGUUAUAUAAAAAUUUAACGACCUUGACUUCGUACCAACGAAAACCUUCAUAGCAAGAUUAUUGUAAGUAAAAUUGAGAAUGGAAAUGGGGAAUGUGUCAAAGAGACAACAACCCGACCAAAUAAAAAACAACAGCAGAAGGUCACCAACAGUAAGUAGUAUACACAAUAAAAGUUGUGGGGUAAAAGUCAAUAAGACAAAAAAUCUCAUAACAUAAUAAAUCGUAAAUAAUUAUUGUAUCAUUUAUCAAAUUGUCAUUAGGAACCGUUUGUCUUUCAUAUAUUCAAUUUAUUUGUUUUCAGCCGGUUUUUAACAUCCACAGUGUAAGUUCUAUCGCAGAGGGUCACCAAAAGCAAGAUGAGAUAUGUUCAUCGUCAAAACGACCUCAUGACAUGAAUACCAUAAUCAAGCAUGACUAUACAAACUGGAAACUUGCUUGUUGA
rnacentral:sRNA from 1 species